ensembl:lncRNA
ACAGAUACCUGUGUAUCCUGAUCAAUAAAAAUCCUCUUGCAGAUUGCAGCCGGUGGACUCGGACUGGUCAUUGGGGCUUGAGGAUCUCCCUCCUGAGGGAAGAUUCUCUCUGAGAGUCUUACAUAUGGGGGCUCGUCCGGGAUCGGAGAUCCUCUGCCUAGAGACCACCGACCACCCACCGGGAGUAACUGUUACAGGUCUUCUUUACCACCGAGGAAAGACAGAAUCCUACUGGAGGCCAGAAAGAAUGUUCCAGACAUGGAUGGAAGACCUUCACUCCUGACUGUUGACUUGAAUACCCCUGAAGAAAUAGGUAGAAGCUUUCCCCACCAAGCAAGAGACGGCCUCAAUAGUCAUCAAGAAGAUACUAGAAGAAAUCUUCCACAGGUCUGGAGUGCCCAAGGUAAUCUGGUCAGACAACGGCCCUACUUUCGUUGCCAAGGUAAGCCAGGGUGUGGCCAAGUAUUUAGAGGUUGAUUGAAAAUUACAUUAUAUUUACAGACCUCAAAGUUCAGGACAGGUAGAAUAAAUAAAUAAGACUCUAAAAGAGACCCUGACCAAAUUGACCAUGGAGACUGGCGUAGACUGGGUGACACUCCUUCCCUCUUGCUCUCUUCAGAGCAAGAAAUACCCCUUCCAGAUUCAGCUUUACCCCCUUUGAGAUCUUAUAUGGGGCCUCAGCUCCCCUGACUGUAUUAGAUGAUGUUACUGAACCAACAUGUCAUAGUAAUAAUGAUUUGUAUGCCAGGCUAAAAGACCUACAGGUGAUACAGAAAGAAAUCUGCUC